UUUGAACUAUUUAAAUUAUUCCUACAAGUCACAUUGAAUCAAUAAAAAUCCUUCAUAGGUAGAAUGAGUGACAGUAACUACAAUUAUAUGAAAUUUUUUCUAGCAAUUUCUAUUCAAACUCUAAAACAUUUGCAUUUGAAUGUAUGACUCAGGGAAUAUGAAAGUAGACCUUAAGGGGAAGUAAUCUCUCAUAUUUGCAUGUUUUCAUACCUGACUUCAUCCCUUGAAUCAUUAGCAUAAAUGGACAUUUUCAGCUGGUGCAAGGAUUGGUGGGGAUUGAUUAGCAUUUACUCUGGAAACUAGGUAGUAGCUGACAAAGUCAUAAGAGGGGUGGAUAUUCAUGAAACUUCUUAUCUCUUCCCAGAACUGUUUGGUUUAGCCCUGGAAUCACAGUAUCAAUAGAGUGAACUAUUCUUUUGUGAAGGUCUCUGAGACUAUCUGAGAUAGAGCAGAAUUUGGGUUGUCCUUUCUGGAAUUAGGAUGCAAACAUCUCCAAGUGGAUGUCAACCUGCGACUGUUUAUAGCUAUGGAGCCAUCACUGAGGCCCCACAUCAGAAAUAUUUUCAUGGAACUGUGAGCUGGAAUGAAGAUCUCUUUGUGGUAGUGGCAGCAAGAGAGGUCCUCUCAGGAAUGUAGGGAAGUGGGUUCAUUGUACUGGCAAACUGCAUCGAAAGGUCAAGAAUGGGAAAAUCUCAUCAACUGAUUUCAUCCUUAACCAGCUUGGCUAUGGCCAGAGUCACUCAUCAGUGGGCAACAGUAUUUGACUGUCUGAUUUAUGAUGGACUGUCUCCACAUCCCUAUGCCAAUGGUAAACGAAUAGCAAAAGUGGUUAAUAUUCUUUGGUAGUUGUAACUGUCCCUCAGAACAAUGUAUUACUUAAAAUAUAACCCAUGGGAAAUUAUACUAGUUACCAAGGCUUAGAUACAGCCUUAAGAAAAGCAUAUACUGGGACGCCUGGGUGGCUCAGUUGGUUAAGCGGCUGCC